AGAGUUUGAUCAUGGCUCAGAUUGAACGCUGGCGGAAUGCUUUACACAUGCAAGUCGAACGGCAGCACGGGGGCAACCCUGGUGGCGAGUGGCGAACGGGUGAGUAAUACAUCGGAACGUGCCCAGUCGUGGGGGAUAACUACGCGAAAACGUAGCUAAUACCGCAUACGAUCCACGGAUGAAAGCGGGGGACCGCAAGGCCUCGCGCGAUUGGAGCGGCCGAUGGCAGAUUAGGUAGUUGGUGGGGUAAAGGCCUACCAAGCCGACGAUCUGUAGCUGGUCUGAGAGGACGACCAGCCACACUGGGACUGAGACACGGCCCAGACUCCUACGGGAGGCAGCAGUGGGGAAUUUUGGACAAUGGGCGCAAGCCUGAUCCAGCCAUUCCGCGUGCAGGAUGAAGGCCCUCGGGUUGUAAACUGCUUUUGUACGGAACGAAACGGCGCUUUCUAAUACAGGGCGCUAAUGACGGUACCGUAAGAAUAAGCACCGGCUAACUACGUGCCAGCAGCCGCGGUAAUAC
rnacentral:rRNA from 1 species